CAUAAACCCUAUCUCCGAGCCUAAUCAACCUAAAGAGCGAUCUAUGGUUAUAGGCCAGGGCUUUAAGCCCUCAGGGUAUAUCUGGAAACGGGUGUGCCUUCCCUUUUGAAAAGGAGGUGGCUAGGUCUGCUA
rnacentral:ncRNA from 2 species